CCUACGGGAGGCUGCAGUGAGGAAUAUUGGUCAAUGGACGAGAGUCUGAACCAGCCAAGUAGCGUGAAGGAUGGCUGCCCUAUGGGUUGUAAACUUCUUUUAUAUGGGAAUAAAAUGUUCCACGUGUGGGAUUUUGUAUGUACCAUAUGAAUAAGGAUCGGCUAACUCCGUGCCAGCAGCCGCGGUAAUACGGAGGAUCCGAGCGUUAUCCGGAUUUAUUGGGUUUAAAGGGAGCGUAGGUGGAUUGUUAAGUCAGUUGUGAAAGUUUGCGGCUCAACCGUAAAAUUGCAGUUGAAACUGGCAGUCUUGAGUACAGUAGAGGUGGGCGGAAUUCGUGGUGUAGCGGUGAAAUGCUUAGAUAUCACGAAGAACUCCGAUUGCGAAGGCAGUUCACUGGACUGCAACUGACACUGAGGCUCGAAAGUGUGGGUAUCAAACAGGAUUAGAUACCCUAGUAGUC
rnacentral:rRNA from 1 species